rnacentral:rRNA from 1 species
GACGAACGCUGGCGGCGUGCCUAAUACAUGCAAGUAGGACGCAGUUGCGAACGGGUGAGUAACGCGUAGGUAACUAUCUAUUUGAGGGGGAUAACUAUUGGUACCGCAAGCGAAUACCGCAUACUAGUAGAUGGUCCUGCUGUGUAUUAGCUAGUAGGUCGGGUAAGGGCAUACCUAGGCAACGAUACGUAGCCGAGCUGGGGAGGUGAUUGGGCACACUGGGACUGAGGCACGGGCCAGACUCCCUACGGGGGCAGCCGUAGGGAAACUUCGGCAAUUGGGGGAACCCUGACCGAGCAACGCCGGGGGAGUGAAGAAGGUUUUCGGAUCGUAAAGCGCUGUUGUUAAGGAAGCGGUACUUAACCAGAAAGGGACGGCUAACUACGUGCCAGCAGCCGCGGUAAUUC